CAGAACCUUUACGUUUAUUUAUUUUAUGGCUGACAUUUAUUUACAUAGACUGACAAGGAAUUGAGAGUGGUCCAGAAUGCAUGUGUUUUUUGUCUAUUGACUUUUAUUACGCUUUUAUGGAUUUGGCAUUUCUGUAAAAAAUAGUUUAUUUUUCUAAGUAAAAGUUGUUGGGUUUUGAGUUGAUUUUUUACUGGGCCCAGUACAUGUUAAGGAAAUUGUUAACAGCCAGCACUUGACCAUAUCAGGUGUGCAUUUUUCUUACUUACAUAAGUGUUCUUCAGCGUUUCAACAACUCAGCAACUCUCACACUUCAAACUACUACAGAUCAAGGUGAGAAGAGGACAGAGCAACGAAUUGUAGAAAUCUAAGGAUAAUGACAAGUAAGGAAAGGAGAGCUGACCAACAGUCGCAGAAUGGGGAACACCCACACUGCCAGCCACCUCACAACCAGAGCAAGAUGAACAUCCGUGCUUUCCUGUCCAAUGCCAAGCUAGAGAUCGAUGCCUUCAUUGUCUCCACAGAACAAACCACAAAACACCUCACGAAUGUUGACUCAUCUUUCAGAGAAAUGUAACUGAAACUAUGUCACUUCUUUAGGGACUUUGGUAUCAUUGACAGCUUCUGAAAAACCUGUAUUCUUCUGUAUCCUGUUAUGUGACUUUAUGCUCUUGGUGGAAUUCUUCAGUGUAUGAGCACUGUGCUCUUCAUUAUUGGGUAGUGAAAGAAUGUUUUGCAUGUCUCUAUUUUGUCUCCCAGUUAAAGUGUGUCCUGUUACCCCUGUGUGAUAGGCCUUAUGUUCCUUCUAUGGUCAUCUGUUCCAGCUCAAAUCAGAGAGUUACGCGCUCCUCUGUCUAACCUUCUCCAUGGUCCAGCUCUGUGGCAAUUCAGAUGACAUGGUUUAACUCAUUCACACAGACGCCUUUGUGAUGCUGCCCCUUCGAUCUACAAUGACUUGGCAGAAAACAUAUUAUGAAAAAUGUUUUUCAAUGACAUCCAACAUUUGUUUUCCUUGACCCACAAAUAGCUUUUUAGGAAAGAGGAAGCACUUACAAAAUGAUGAUCUCCAGGAGUUUAGGGGAGGGAAAAGACCGUCUAACUCAAUCUUAAUUAGUAAGGAUCUCAGACACAGAUUUUAGGGGAAUGUUCCUGCACUGGAUGACAAACGAGCAGGGAGCUUUAAUUUGUGUUUCUCUGUAACACUGGGGACUGGCUGAUAAAACAUUUGUGAGAACAGAGAAGGAGGGAAAAGAACAAAAACAAGGGCAAAGAACAAUUUCAUCAAAGUAGGUAAGUGAUGAUACUUUCCCUCAAUAGUACUACCAAAUAAAAUGUAUAUAAUGUCAUUAACCUUUAACCAUGUUUUAUGCUGUUUAAGCUGUUAUGUCAUGCUUACUUAUUAUGUACUUAUACAUCAUCUUUGCUUUUUCAAGAUAAAGUUAAUGGUAAUCGUUAUCCAUCCAUCCCUCUCUCUUUCUCUCUCUCUCUCUGUCUCUCUGUCUCUCCGUCGCUCUCACUCUCAUUCACUCUCUGUCUCACUC